ACAAACUUGGUCAUUUAGAGGAAGUAAAAGUCGUAACAAGGUAUCCGUAGGUGAACCUGCGGAUGGAUCAUUCUUGCAAUGUGCCUGUGGCACACUGUCCUGUGCAAUGUGUGUGUGAUUCAUAGGUCACCAUUGUGUGUGUGUGGCCUGUGUCUAUUUUCAACCAUGUUUCCCAUGUUAUUCUUACUACUAUAUACAAACUAGCAAAACUGCCAGCAAUGGAUCCCUCGGUUCUCGCAUCGAUGAAGAACGCAGC
rnacentral:misc_RNA from 1 species